UUUCUGGGAUGAAGAUUAGUGCUUCUGGCCCACUUUAUGAAUUCUGGAUGACACCUGUAUUCCAAAAUAUCUAAACAAUGACUGUUCAUUAGAUUCACUAAGAAAGUGCUAGUAUUUUACAGAAAUUUUUGCGUUCAUUUCACUGAAGUGCCAGGCACAGCACACUCCUAUUUUUUUGGUCCCCAUAUGUCAUCUACUUUGAGCAGCAGAGGGGGGAACUAGGAGGUUCACAGAGGUUCCUUGCAACCUCAGCUGUUCUGUGAUUCUGUGACUUGGUGAUUUUAUGCAUAAACUACUGGUUUGAGAAAAAUGCUGUUUUCUAGCUGUGUUUCAUUUUAGCCUUAAUCUGUUUGUACAACUGGAUUUGCUUCUGAAUCAACAGCAAAGUGAAGAUGCUGAUAUAACAAGAAAGACAGAUACUUUCACAAUUUCUGAAGAGAGUGGAAAUGAGAGAAAUCACAGUUGCUUCACUUUCGCCAAAAGGAGAAGUAAAAACCACAGGGGAAACCAUCAAAAGCGACUGUGUCACAUCUUCCUGAGGAACAGCUUCAAUUUUUUCACGGCUGAAGUGUAGGUUACGUGAUGGCUGGACGUAGACGGAGAGAUCUCUAUAGGCAGGUCUUGGGACACAGUUGGUUUAUUGUAAAGGCGUGGGUAUAGGGGCACUGCUCAGAGCUGCCAGACUCAGCUCUGAGCAGGCCCAAGAGAGCAAGAGAGUAAGUGGGUGAGAGAGAGAGAGAGAGUGUGUAAGAGCAAGAGCAAGAGCAAUAGAAUGGAAGUAAGAGUAAGGAAUGGAAGUGAGAAUGAAUAGAAGUGUCUGAAGUCCUGGUUACAAUACAAUAAAUCAUCUUCUGUACUGAAUAUUCUAAUUGUCACUAACCAAUCUAAUACAAGAUACAAAUCCUAUAGCAUUUACAUACAGCCUAUAAGAGUUCUUAUAUUACCAUAGAGUGUUACAUCUUAACUUCUAAAAACUACUCUUUGGACCCCUUCUGCUGAGCUAGUAGGGUCUGCUCUGACCCUUGGACCUGUUUGCAAGCAGAGGGUAUUGUUUCAUCAAGAGGGGAUUACUUCAGUGGCCAUACCAUUGUUUUCUAGUUGUUCAGUAACUAAGACCUGGUAUUU
rnacentral:lncRNA from 1 species